AUGACACUGUUGGGACUUCUGUGCCUGGUGACUGCCCUUCCUGGUAUCUUGUCCCAGAUACAGCUUCAGGAGACAGGACCUAGCCUGGUGAAGCCCUCUCAAACACUGUCCCUCACCUGCUCUGUCACUGGUGCCUCCAUCACCAGUAAUUACUGGAGCUGGAUCAGGCAGUCUCCAGGGAAGAAGCUGGAGUGGAUGGGGUACAUACGUUCUAGUGGUAGCACCAACUACAACCCAUCCCUGCAGAGCCGCAUCUCCAUCACCAGAGAAACAUCCAAGAACCAGUUCUUCCUGCAGCUGAACUCUGUGACCACAGAGGACACAGCCACUUAUUACUGUGCAAGAGGCCAUUAUUACUUUGAUAAGAAACAUACUUUCAAACUAUUUUUUAAUGUGUAUGUUCCUGAUAGAUCAAUAUGUAGGAAACUGUGA